AGGAAUCCACAUACAACUGGUAGAAAAAGCCAUGCUAGGCUUUGUAAAGAGAUGGUGGAAGCAAAAGUUAAAGGGAAGGUCCAUGACAUUGACGUAUGGGAUGAAGCACAUAA